rnacentral:lncRNA from 1 species
ACAAAGCAGACUGCCCAGCCAGCAACUCUACAGAUGAUAAAGCACCCAGGAAAUAGCUGGCUACAAAAGCUGCUCACAAGGGUGCACCCUCUCUUGGAGGGGUGAAGAAAAUUCAUUACUACAGGCCUGAUACUGUAGUACUCUGUGAAAUGAGACACUAUCAGAAGUCCACUGAACUUCUGAUUCCCAGGGUUCCCUUUCAUCAUCUGGUUCAAGAAAUUGCUCAGGACUUCAAAACAGAUCUGUGCUU